GGAGAGUGCUACAUUUUCUCCCACGCAAGCUUCAUAUCUAUUCUGAGUUUCUGUAUGUUGCACCAUGAUUGCUUCCAAUUCCAUGACCUUAUCAGUGAGGAGACAGUUCGCCUUUGAAAGACUCGCGAGUUCAGCUUCCAAAGAUUGAUUCUGCAGAACAAGAUCGCUGCAUCGGAGGAUGCAACUAGCUUUCUCCUCAUGCAAAAUGUGAACAUCUUCCAAAGCAGCCUGCAAUCUUAU
rnacentral:misc_RNA from 1 species